AACAACAGAUAUAACAGUAAGUUGGUGGUCCUGUAAAAGCUGUUAUAGAAUACACACAAGCACACAGUCAUGUUAGCAGGCAGAAAGUCAUGUUAGCAGGCAGAAAGUCAUGUUAGCAGGCAGAAAGUCAUGUUAGCAGGCAGAAAGUCAUAUUAGCAGGUUAAGCAUGUCUCUAGGCACACAGUCAUGUUGGUAUGGAACACAGUCAUGUUAGCAGGUUAGCAUGUUUCUAGGCACACAGUCAUGUUGGUAUGGAACACAGUCAUGUUAGCAGGUUACCAUGUUUCUAGGCACACAGUCAUUUUGGUAUGGAACACAGUCAUGUUGGUAUGGUACACAGUCAUGUUGGUAUGGAACACAGUCAUGUUAGCAGGUUAGCAUGUUUCUAGGCACACAGUCAUGUUGGUAUGGAACACAGUCAUGUUGGUAUGGAACACAGUCAUGUUAGCAGGUUAGCAUGUUUCUAGGCACACAGUCAUUUUGGUAUGGAACACAGUCAUGUUAGCAGGUUAGCAUGUUUCUAGGCACACAGUCAUGUUGGUAUGGAACACAGUCAUGUUGGUAUGGAACACAGUCAUGUUAGCAUGUCUCUAGGCACACAGUCAUGUUGGUAUGGUACACAGUCAUGUUAGCAUGUCUCUAGGCACACAGUCAUGUUGGUAUGGAACACAGUCAUGUUGGUAUGGUACACAGUCAUGUUAGCAUGUCUCUAGGCAGUCAUGUCAGCAGUCAUGUCUCUAGGCACACAGUCAUGUUGGUAUGGAACACAGUCAUGUUAGCAGGUACACAGUCAUGUUAGCAGGUACACAGUCAUGUUAGCAGGCACACAGUCAUGUUAGCAGGUACACAGUCAUGUUAGCAGGUACACAGUCAUGUUAGCAGGCACACAGUCAUGUUAGCAGGUACACAGUCAUGUUAGCAGGUACACAGUCAUGUUAGCAGGCACACAGUCAUGUUAGCAGGUACACAGUCAUGUUAGCAGGUACACAGUCAUGUUAGCAGGCACACAGUCAUGUUGGUAUGGAACACAGUCAUGUUAGCAGGUUAGCAUGUUUCUAGGCACACAGUCAUGUUGGUAUGGAACACAGUCAUGUUAGCAGGUUACCAUGUUUCUAGGCACACAGUCAUUUUGGUAUGGAACACAGUCAUGUUAGCAGGUUAGCAUGUUUCUAGGCACACAGUCAUGUUGGUAUGGAACACAGUCAUGUUGGUAUGGAACACAGUCAUGUUAGCAGGUUAGCAUGUUUCUAGGCACACAGUCAUGUUGGUAUGGAACACAGUCAUGUUGGUAUGGUACACAGUCAUGUUGGUAUGGAACACAGUCAUGUUGGUAUGGAACACAGUCAUGUUGGUAUGGUACACAGUCAUGUUGGUAUGGAACACAGUCAUGUUGGUAUGGAACACAGUCAUGUUGGUAUGGAACACAGUCAUGUUGGUAUGGAACACAGUCAUGUUAGCAGGUACACAGUCAUGUUAGCAGGUACACAGUCAUGUUAGCAGGUACACAGUCAUGUCAGCAGUCAUGUCUCUAGGCACACAGUCAUGUUAGCAGGUACACAGUCAUGUUAGCAGGUUAGCAUGUCUCUAGGCACACAGUCAUGUUAGCAGGUACACAGUCAUGUCAGCAGUCAUGUCUCUAGGCACACAGUCAUGUUAGCAGGUACACAGUCAUGUUAGCAGGUUAGCAUGUCUCUAGGCACACCAUUAGUGAAUCAGUGAGCGCACCAGUCUCUGAUGAAUUUGCCAUUGUAUAGA